rnacentral:lncRNA from 1 species
CUGCUACCUGUUUACAUAGGACAGUUUAAUUAAUUAGCACAACAACCCAAUGAAAUGCUUACAUUAUGAUGUCCACUUAGAGAUGUGAAAGAGGAAACUCGGAGAAGUGAAGGGACUUGCCAAGGUCAUACAGAUAGAACUCCAGAAAUUCUGAUUCCAGAGCCUGAGAGUGAUAAAUAAGCUGAAUGUCAAAUGAAACCUAAUCUCCAGGGUGAGAGUGUUUGGAGGUGGGGCCUUUGGCAUGAUUAGGUCAUGAAGGCGGAGCCCUCAAAGGGGGUUAGUGCCCUUAUAAAAGAGCCAUGAGAAUGCUCCCUUGGUCCUGUGAGGACACAGUGAAAAAGAUGGCCAUGGAUGAACCAGGAAGUAGGUUCUAACAGACACCAAAUGUCCAGGCACCUUGAUCUUGCACUUCCCAGCCUCCAGAACUGUGAGAAAUAACUUUCUGCCAGUUUAUAGAACUUCAUUAUAUCAACCCCAGCAGCCUAAGACAGAGGCCAAGCUGUAAAUUGUUAUGUGAGACUUCAGCCUCUUUGGAUCUCAGUGUUUUCCUAUGUAACAUAAAAGGAUUGACUUGCAUUGGGGUUUCGCAACCUCAGCAUUACUGAUAAUGUGGCCGGAUAAUUCUUUGUUGUGGGGUUUGUCUUGUAUAUUGUUAGGAUGUUUAGCAGCCUCCUUCGCCUAUACCUGCCAAACACCAACAACUUUGCCUGGUUUUGACAAAGAAAAAUGUCUCCAGUUUUUGCCCAAUGUUCUAGCCAAGGGUGGGGUCGGAGAUGGUGCAAACUUGCCUCUGCUGAGAACCACUGAUCUAAAUACUUUCCUUGUUACUUUCUGGAAUUAAUAGUCGAUAGUUCAAUGUGUGCUUCUCUGGUUUCUUUUCUUAGUUCUUCUCUGGCUUUUUUAUUCCUUCACAUUGCUGAGUUUAUCCUUCUGUCAAUUAGGGAUUAGUGUCCAUCUUCACCUAAAAUUGAAGUAAUGGCACCAAAUCCUAAGGACAGCCUUUGGCGCAUGUAAAGUGCUCAGUAAAAACCUUCUGUGUUGUUAAAAUCCUCGUCUCUGAAGCAGAUUUACCGUGGCCCCAUCCCAUCUGGGACAAGCUCUAUCCGGGCUCCCUCUGAGAGGAGAGGAGAAAGGAACACAGCUGCUCUGGAGACCCUAAAGGAAGCCCUCCAUGGCCAGCAGCCCAUUUGUAAAUGGCAGGCUAGAUUGUGGUUUGGGGGAAAUUAGAACAGACUUUAAGCAUCAUCAAUUAAUCGAUGCAAAUCACUUUCCUUUCAGUCAGAUUUAGGUAAUGGCAUAUCUCAAAUGACAAAGCCUACUAUUUGUCAUCUCCACUAAGAAAAACCCUCAGCUUCUUUCCAUCUGUAAAUUCUCAAGAGAGGCUGAUAGGUUUCCCUCAUUUAAAUAUAGCACAGAUGCAUUUUUUAAGAACCCAUUCUCUCUGAAGGGAGUGGAAUUGACAGACCUGGACCUUGAAUACUCAUUUGAUAUACUGAUGCUCUAUGGAGCUUGGCAAGACCGUUUUUCAACCCACCCUGGAGCAUUUUCUGUUUCCUUCCUUGGUUCUAUUUUAGAUUCUUACUUUGCAUACUACCUGCAACCAAUGCCAGUGAUUAACUUCCCCAGAGAGAAAACUAAGAAUAUUUUUCUUCUGCAAAGUUUUAGGAUCCUUCUCCUUUCCCAACCCCAUAUCCAGACCUACCCAGUGUCCCCAUUUGCCUGGAAUAUGUUUGCAGCUUCGUCUUCCACUCAUCUUCCAUACUCCAACCAUUGGGUCAACUCCACAGAUGCUCAUUGGAUCUUGGCAUGGAAUUAAGAUUGAGUAUUGGGGGCUAAAUCAAAUGUGUUGGGUUAAACAUUAGCAAUUAAAAAACAUUAAAGGAUUUCUCAAACUUUUGAACAUGCUAAUAUGGGUUGUGAAUUUCAAAGAAGAAAUAAGAAAUAUAGGUUUCUCAAACUUAUAUGAUUGCAUAUCUUUUUUUUUUUAUGAAGGAGCAUCUUAGGUUUCUGUGUAACAUAUUUUGGGAAGCACUGUUCUAGGAUAUUUUAUGUGUAUGCCAAAUGCUUCUUGGAGCUCUGUAUUUUUGAUAUCUCAAAUCUCCUUGCUUUGAAAUUAAACAGUGGAUCUUCUGAUGGCUACAGAGAACAUGAAUUUACAAAAGGAUAGAACACCUAGCCUAGGUAGCAUUCUUUCUUGAAAAUUAUUAAAACACAUAAUGCUUUGUGUUACUGAUAUAAUAAAUGAGAUGAACUCAGUGGGGAUACACUCAUGGAAAACAUUUACUUCCUAAUCAUGACUUUAAAAAGGCAAGAGCACUGCUAGCUUGCCCACCUUUGUGUCUGGCAUAUACCUUAUAGCUUACCAGGGACUUUCAGUUAGAAAAUACAGUAGUUCUCCCUGACCUGCAAUUUUUGCUCUCUGUGGCUUCAGUUACCUGUGGUUUCCCACCAUCUGAAAAUAUUAAAUGGAAAAUUCCAGAAAUGCACAAUUCAUGAGUUUUAAGUUGUGUGAUAUUUUGAGGAAUGUGAUGUACCUCCCUCUCUCCUGGUCCAUCCUGCCCAGGAUGUGAAUCAUCCUUUUGUCCAGGGCAUCCUGCCCACUAGUCACUUAGUAGCCAUCUUGGUUGUCAGAUUGACUGUCCUGGUACCCCAGUGCUGUGUUCAACUCUUGUUUUCAUUAAUAAUGGCUCCAAAGCACAAGAGUAGUGAUGCUGGCAAUUUGGAUAUUCUCUUACUGUGCCUAAUUUAUAAAUUAAACUCUACCAUUGGCAUGUAUAUUAUAGGAAAAAAAAAUCAUAGUAUAUGUAGGGUUGGGUACUAUCUGCAGUUUCAGGCUUCCACUAGGGGUCUUGGAAUGUAUCCCCUGUGGACCACAAGUUCAAUCUCAUAUCCAGUUCAGCUUUCUCUCCUCUCUCUAGCAAGCUCAAGUGGAGUGGUGGCUUGGGGACUUGGAAUGGGGCCCAUGGUAUGAUUAUUCUUCCUUACACUCCCCCAUGUUCUUUGAUUUCUGUUGUAUAUUCUUCCUUCUAAAUCUUGUAGAUUUGGAGGAAAGAGAAGACUAGAGAAAAAAAAAGACCUUUGUCCUUUUUUUUUUUUUUUUUUUUUUGCUUUGUCCUUAUUAUUGCUUGCACAAUUCUUGUAAGUCUUGAUAUUUUCCAUGAAAGGUGUCUGCCUGCUGGCUUUUUGGUCUUGGGCAUUAAUGGAUUCUUUGGAGGCUGACUAGACCACCAAACUGCACCAAGUAAGGCCAAUGCACUUUCCAGCUAAUCUCUUAUAUCUACUUCUGCUGGUGGUGAACCCCAGGUCUUGUACGGCUGGCCAGAGUACUUACAAGAUGCCCUUUUAUCUUCCAAGGCCACUCUUAGGUCUCAGGAAAUUCAUGCAUCCUUCCUGAGCAGUCUGUCUUUGCUUUGCCAUUAGGCUGGUCCAGCUGGACUCCUGCUUUCAGAAUUUUCCAGAUGAGAGGCAGAUCCAAUGUUUAGGAUUGUGUAAGUGAAGUUUCAGUGAAUACAUAUCAAACUCUCCUGAAAACUCCUCUAUCCCCCUUCACUUGGGUGGGUCCACUGUCUUAGUUCUACAAGUGUCUGCAGCUCAGCAAACAUCCAGGUGAAGUAAUACCAGCCUCCUUUCACACCUCUUUGGACCCUUCUCUAUUAAUUUUUAAGGGGGAGGCACACUCUCUCCUCCUCAAAUAGAGGAGGGAAAAAAAAUCCAUUGCGCUUUUCCCCUCAGAAAAAUCUCUUACUAAUUCUAUUCUAUCGCCUUUUGGAAUUUCUAGUUUUCCCUUAUUGAGGCUUUUAGGUAGGAGGUGAGGAUUGAAAAUCAUUGGUCUGUUAUGCCUACCAUGGAUGAAACUAGCAUUUUUCGUUAAUGUUACUUACCAUCUAUUGAAUUGCAGAAGACAACAGGAAGAGACCGAUUUAAAGUCAUGGAACACAAGGAAAUUGGUUCCCAAAUGCAAAUAAUCUUCAUAAUGUUUUCUUUGGUUGGUAGUAUAUAAUUUCUGGAAGAAAUUUCCAUUGUUUGAAAAUCCUUUGUUAGUCAGAAUUUGUAGGAGGUGAAUACCUGCCUCACUCAUAUGCUCUUUUCUCGGGCUCUCUUCCCAGGAGUGGCACAUCUAGGUCAAAGGACAUUAUCAGCUCCCCAGCUCUUGCCACUUUAUGGCUAAAGCCCAGAGAAAAUGGCUGCUAAGUGUUUAGAGGUGAGUUUAUUAAACUUUCGAAUAACACCACAGUGUACACACACAGGAGUUAAAACAGUAAGCACUUAGUGGAUUUUAUAUUUAAUUUCGGUAAAUGUAAUGGUCUAAUUAGACAAUUCUAGCUAAUCAUUUUUAAUUUUAGCUACCUAGAGCUGUAUCCCCUUACCAGCUCUGUGACCUGGCUGGGCUGGUUUCCCACGCAUUCAUUCUCUCUCUCUCUCCCUUUCGGUUUUCCCCUGCUGUUUGCUUGGUUUCCAGACUCCCAUAAUGUUCUCUCCUGCUGGUUUCUCCACCUAUAAGUAACUCCUUUGUCUCCCCUCUCCCACCCCCCAUUCUCCAGCUAUCUUUAUGGGCAACAUCAAACUGCUGAUUUGGUUAGCACUGAGCUGGGGCCAGGGACUGGGGUUAACUUCUCAAAUGUGUUUAUGAUGCAAAGAUACAUUUUGUUCCUAAUUAGGCCUCUCACUAAGGGGAAAAGCAAAAGGAUAUAGAGGUUUGGGAUUUUUAAACAGUCAUCAUCCCCGAAAAAGGGCAUAAAUCAGUCAAAUAAGUCAUAUAAGCGUUCAAAGGAACCUGAAAUUCACAGCUGUUUCUCAUGAGUCAGGAGCUAACCUUGUCUUGCUUUCACCGAGGCUGGGCUGUCUACUGGGAAAGCAGUAGAAAUACCUGUUAGGCAGGAACCCCUGAAGUGGACAACACGAGAAACUCUUCUUAUGAAGGCACCCAUUUUCAAGUGUUCCAGGAUCCUGGAGGUAUGUUGUCUUUUUUGAAGCAUUCACAACAUGCAGUGGCAAGAAAGAGACUCUUUGUUAGCUCUAUUUAAGGAGGAAAAUUGAGAUGCAGCUGGGAGAAGCAAGAAGCAUCCAGUCAGCAAGAUAGCAAGGAGAAUUUAUAUUACAUGGCAGCUUGUGAGCAUGUUUGCUUUAGGACAGACACAGGGAUGCUAUAAGCAAGGCAGGAUGUAAAUGAUUUUUUUUUUUAAACAAGUGUUAGCUCAGAUUUUGACUCGAGAUGGUGCCCCAUGAACCUUGGAAAAGUAUUCUGAAUGAAUGGCAAAGGCUCAAGCCCAGAGCUUGAUACAGAGUAAACCCUCAAUACAGUUCACUGAUUCUCUUGCUUGCAAUUUUGUAGCAUUCUUAACUUGGUAUACAAGGAGAAAAAUCAAGUACAGUGUGAUAGAAAAGCUUUUCCAUUAUCCAGACAGCAAUACCACCUCUAGUAGGAUUUAAGGAAAAUCCACAGUGUUCCAUUAUUCCUGGUAAACCAGUUCAUCCCUGAUCAUAACAUGUCCAUGACAUUCAAGAAGCCUUCAGAGCUCUGUGAGUUCCCCGUAAAAUCCAGCACACUUUAUCUGAGCUCUGUAGCCUCCUCACUGGGUGUGUCCGUUCAUGUCUUCUUAGAAGCAGAUGACAAGACAGUUAUAAGUGUAAAAGAUUUAUUUUGGGAAAAGUCCAGGAAAGAUAAUAGGAAAGGAGGCAGAUAUAGGCAAGGGAAGCCUCAGACCUAGACAGGUUUGAACACUGUGAGAAAAGAAGGGGGAAGGGAGCCUCAGAUGGUAGGGUGGCCCUAAGACCAUCUUGACCAUUGGCCGGACCUAAGAUGGCCUUGAUGAGGCCAACGUGGAGGCUCAUAGGAGGAAGAGUCCUGCAUUUGGCAGGAAUGGUCUUUGUCCAGUAUUUUCCCUUGCUCAGUCUGGCUAGGAGUAGCCCACCAAGGGCAUGGCCUUGGUUGUGAACACUGCAAGGGAUAAAUAAUGUGGGGCAGCUGGUGGCUAUGAGCUAAAAUAAGGUUCUCUUGAGCAGGGAGAUCUGAUCAGUGCAGCCCAGGCUGGCAUCCUAUGACACCAUCCUUCACUUCACCAACAGUGAGAUGGAUCCUAAAUAGUAUCCUGGAAAGAACCAACAUUCUAUCAGACCUAAUCCUAUUAUGCCUUAUAUUCCUGUUUGCCUCAUACAAAAUCAAAAGCUCAAGACUCUCGUGGCAUCUAUUAUUAUUAUUUUUCUUAUGACCACAACUGCAGCACAUGGAAAUUCCCAGGCUAGGGGUCCAACUGGAGCCACAGCUACAGGCCUAUACCACAGCCACAGCCAUAGCAACACCAGAUCCCAGCUACAUCUAUGACCUACACUGUAUCUUGUGGCAACGCUCAAUCCUUAACCCACUGAGUGAGGCCAGGGAUCAAACUCACAUCCUCACGGACACUAUGUUGGGUUCUUUACCCACUGAGCCACAAUGGGGAUGCCUAUUAUUAUUUUUUUAAAUUGAUGUAUAGUGCAGUUGAUGUACCACAUUAUAUAAGUUUCAGGUACACAAUAUACUGAUUCACAAUUUUUAAAUGUUAUAUUCCAUUUAUAAUUUUUAUAAAAUAUUGGCUAUAUCCCUGUGUUGUACAUUAUAUCCUUGUGGCUUAUUUCGUAUCUAGUAGUUUGUACCUCUCACUUACCUACCCUUAUAUUGCCCCCACCCCCAUCCCUCUUUCCACUAGGAACCACUCAUUUGUUCUCUAUGUCCGUGAGUCUGUUUCUUUUUUUGCUAUAUUCACUAGUUUGCUGUAUUUUUUAGAUUCCACAUAUUUGUGAUAUUAUACAGUAUUUGUCUUUCUCUGUCUUAGUUCCCUAAGUAUAAUACCCUCCAAGUCUGUCCAUGUUGUUGCAAAUGGCAAAAUGUCAUUCUUUUUCAUGGAUGAGCAGUCUUCCUUUAUAUAUAUAUGUAUAUCCCAUCUCCUAUUGUCCAAAUGUAACACCCAUUCAGUGUUCUAAAUCUCCUAAUGAGACUCAAUCUCACACCAUUCCCUGUCCGUUAAACCUUUCCACCUGCUCUUUUGACCUCUCAGAGUGUCCUUUGCCCAUGUCCUCUGCUCUCCUAAGAAUGUUCUCUUGGAGUUCCCGUCGUGGCGCAGUGGUUAACUAGGAACCAUGAGGUUGCGAGUUUGGUCCCUGCCCUUGCUCAGUGGGUUAACGAUCCAGUGCUGCCGUGAGCUGUGGUGUAGGUUGCAGACGCGGCUCAGAUCCUGUGUAGCUGAGGCCAGCCUCUGUACUCAGCACUGGGUCCUUCCCCCAUCUACUCAUGGAAGUGGCUCUUACAAUGAUCUCUUCUUUUCUGCAUUCAAAAUGUGCCUCCGAUUGGAUUAUUUCUAUCAGCUGGUAUAUGUCCCAUCUUAAUAAAAUAAGAAACAAUGUUAAAAUAAAUAUUUUUUUCAUUCUAAAAUAAAGCUGCCGACUUAAUUUAAUAUUCCUCCUACCUAUAACUCUAUUUUUCUGUUCCCCUUUAAAGCAAAAUGUCACGUUUAUGUCUUUAUGUCCAUGCUUCUCUGGGUCUUGGUAGCCCUUUCAAUAAAGCUUUCAUCACCUCUACUUUACUAAUUACUAAUACUGAUUUUUCCAAGACUACCAAGGAUCUCCAUGUUGCCAGACUCCGUGAUGGCUUCUCUCUCUUCAUUAGAAUUGGUAGUUCUUGCUGAGCUUCUUAGAAAAAUUUGAUGUAGUUUAUUAUGCACUUAUCUUUGCAAUAUUUCCUUUACUUGGGUUCAGAAUCACCAUACUUACUGGCUUUCCCUGCUCAGUCACUUUUGUUGCCUCUUCCUUCAUUCCCCCUCCCACUUUAUUGAGUUAUAAUUGACAACAUUGUGUAAGUUUCAGGUAUACAAUGUAAUGAUCUGAUAUAUGCAUAUAUUGAAAAGUGAUUACCACAGUAAGGUCAAUGAACACAUCCAUCACCUCACAUAGUUAUCAUUUGUGUGUGUGUUGGGGGGGGGGUUAGUAUAUUUAAGAUCUAUUCUCCUAGCAAAGGUCAAGCAUAAAGUACAGUAUUAUUAACUAUUGUCAUGUUACUGUAUAUUCUCAGAACUUAUUCAUCUUACGAGUGACAGUUUGUAUCUUGUGACCAAUUUCUCCCCAUUUUUUUCUGCCCUUGAGAUCCUGGAAAUCACCCAUUUAUCUGUUUCUAUGAAUUCAAUAUUUUGGAGAUUCCACAUAUAGACCUGCUUUCCCUGCUCCUUCAUUCACACAGUGGACCGUGGCUACUCCCAACUCUUUAAUUGAAGAGAAUGUUCUUGCCCUACAUUAUGUCAGUUUCAUGAACUACUGCCAGGAGGCGAAAGUUACAUACACCUGGCUUCCCAGGGAAGAUCUCAAAGUUCCUAGAUGACAAAACUGAGGCCCAGAAGGAGAAAGUGAUUUGCAUGAUGUCACACAACCUAGUAAGCUAUAUGCCAAGACCAGCGUCAUCUUCUAGGCAUUUUAAUGAAACAAUUGUCCUUGCUGUUAUCAUCCUUCCUCCUUCAUCGAGCUUUCAUUUGGAAUUUUUCUAAAUACAUGCAGUUGAACUUUCUGAAUUUUUUUGAAUUUUAUGUUUUAUAACAAACGGUUGGGACAUAACUGCUUGAAUUUACAGUUUCUGAGUAAUGGGAUCUGACUUUCAGUGGACUGCCACUGACAUACUGGAAUUUAGCAAUUAGGCAAAAGCAACUACCAUUGUAUUGCGCAAUUGUAACUUUAACCUACUUAUGAAUAAAUGAAU